UGUACACCUGAGGCCUUCUGAAGGUGGCAUUUGAGAGUAAGCAGACAAGAAGAUGCUUGGGGUAGACCAUCUAAAUUGCUUUGGGAGAGGGAAUGCUGUGCAGCCCAGGAAGAUUCAGCAGCUGUUCCCAAGGAGUUUCAACCUGAGGAGAACCUUGAUGAAUUAUAUGCUGAGAUCUACGAGAGGGUGGAUGCUCCUUUAGAAUAAUAUGGAAGAAAAUAAGAAAAUGGCUUCCAUGGAAAAACUAUCCAAGUAAGCUGUCAUCUGACCGUGAAGCAAGGAAAAGUGA